GGGGGCGACCUGGCUUCGACGUGGGUCACAAAACCUGAGGUGCAUGCCGAGGUGCAGAUUACCUCGUAAAUCCAUCUGCAAAACCUAUAGUUGCCAACGACGACAACUACGCACUCGCCGCCUAAACACCGGUAGGGUGCCCUCUGGCCGGAGCCGUGUCUGUGCGUCCGAUUCCCAGGGGUCGACUCUCACAGAAUCGCGAUGAAGCUUGUUCGGGGUGGAUUCGCUAAAACUUACCGGACUCGCGGUACGUCUUCCCUGUCUGUCGGGUAGCGUGCCGUUAAACUCAAAGACAGACUAAGCAUGUAGAUCCGAAGGCGGAGGAUUUACGGACGCGGGUUCGAUUCCCGCCGCCUCCACCA
rnacentral:tmRNA from 1 species